GGCCUUAAGGGAGGAGCUUGCGUCACAUUAGUUAGUUGGUGGGGUAAAGGCCUACCAAGACUAUGAUGUGUAGCCGGGCUGAGAGGUUGAACGGCCACAUUGGGACUGAGACACGGCCCAAACUCCUACGGGAGGCAGCAGUAGGGAAUUUUCGGCAAUGGAGGAAACUCUGACCGAGCAACGCCGCGUGAACGAUGAAGUAUUUCGGUACGUAAAGUUCUUUUAUUAGGGAAGAAUAAAUGAUGGAAAAAUCAUUCUGACGGUACCUAAUGAAUAAGCCCCGGCUAACUAUGUGCCAGCAGCCGCGGUAAUACAUAGGGGGCAAGCGUUAUCCGGAAUUAUUGGGCGUAAAGGGUGCGUAGGCGGUUAAAUAAGUUUAUGGUCUAAGUGCAAUGCUCAACAUUGUGAUGCUAUAAAAACUGUUUAGCUAGAGUAAGAUAGAGGCAAGUGGAAUUCCAUGUGUAGUGGUAAAAUGCGUAAAUAUAUGGAGGAACACCAGUAGCGAAGGCGGCUUGCUGGGUCUUUACUGACGCUGAGGCACGAAAGCGUGGGGAGCAAACAGGAUUAGAUACCCUGGUAGUCCACGCCGUAAACGAUGAGUACUAAACGUUGGGUAAAACCAGUGUUGAAGUUAACACAUUAAGUACUCCGCCUGAGUAGUACGUACGCAAGUAUGAAACUUAAAGGAAUUGACGGGACUCCGCACAAGCGGUGGAUCAUGUUGUUUAAUUCGAAGGUACCCGAAAAACCUCACCAGGUCUUGACAUGCUUCUGCAAAGCUGUAGAAACACAGUGGAGGUUAUCAGUUGCACAGGUGGUGCAUGGUUGUCGUCAGCUCGUGUCGUGAGAUGUUGGGUUAAGUCCCGCAACGAGCGCAACCCUUAUUGUUAGUUACCAGCACGUAAUGGUGGGGACUUUAGCAAGACUGCCAGUGAUAAAUUGGAGGAAGGUGGGGACGACGUCAAAUCAUCAUGCCCCUUAUGACCUGGGCUACAAACGUGAUACAAUGGCUGUUACAAAGGGUAGCUGAAGCGCAAGUUUUGGCGAAUCUCAAAAAAAACAGUCUCAGUCGGAUGAAGUCUGCAACUCGACUCAUGAAGUGCAUCGCUAAGUAUUCG
rnacentral:rRNA from 1 species